UGUGGCUCCGCCCAGCCCCACCCGCCGUCGACCCGGGUGGUGGAGCCUCGUCCCGGGGGCGUCUCCGUGGGCUAGAGGCGGAUCGCGGCGGCUUGCGCUCGGGAUCCCUGUUAAAUCCCCUUGGAGGGACGUCCGAGAUGAAAGCUUAGGAUCAGUUUAACCGGAGUGAAAGUUAAAAAAGAAGAAGAAAAGAAAAUAAGAAAGACAAGAGGGAGAGGGUAUAGUGAGUCUUGCCACCCUUGGCCCGCCCCAGGAUUUGUAGAUGAGCUUUCCAGGAGCUCUGUGCAUGGAGACAGCAGCAUGCAGAUCCACUUUGGAACAGAAUCAACUAACUAAGAGGUUCUCAAAAUAUGGCUCCAGAGAAGGACCAGCAUCAUCACUGGCGUCAUUUGGGAACUUGUUAGAAAAUGAAAAUUCUCAGGUCCAAUCCACAGACUUACUAAAUCAGAAACAAUGGAGGCAUGGCCAAGCAACCUGUGUUUUAACAAGGUCUCCAGCUAAUUCUGAUGCAAGCUAAAAUUGGAGAACCAUUGACCUAACCUAACAAUGAUCAAUUAUCAUUUUUCCAUCCUUGGAGAAAUAGUUAUAUGCUAUAUUAACAAUGACAAUAGAAACAGCAGCAACAAACUACCACAACUACUCCCACAUAUGAAAUACCCAUUGUAUGCCAAGCACUGUACUCAGUGUAAAUGUGUUUGUGUGUAAUCUCAUUUAAACUUCAUGACAAUCUAGAAGCAAACAUUUUAAUUUAAAAGGGAACUUGCACAAGUAAAAACAUAAAUAGCAGAAACAGGAGUUAAAUCUAUGAAUCAAAAACUAUGGCUUUCUAUUACACUAUACUUCUUAAAGAACAUGUAACAUACACCAUGUCUCGUACUAUUUGUAAUGAAUGUAAUUAUUUCUAUUUAACUAAAAGGUUGGUCAUCGAUCUAUCUUUUGACAUCAAAAUAUGUGUAAUAAUUAGAAUUGUUAAAAUAAUUCAAAUACAGUAUACAGUGGUAUAUGGACUUGGUCUGAGAAGUGAUGACAUUUACCAGAGAAACACACAAAUAUAAUUUUAAAAAUUUAACCUCUUGUAUGUGUUUUGUUUUGGUGUUUUUUUGUUGGGCUCAUCUUUUCCUAUUUCUUUUUUUCAAGUUUUUAUAUGAAAU